rnacentral:RNase_P_RNA from 1 species
GGAGCCGGCCGGGCGGCCGCGGUGAGGCGAGUACGAGACGCCCCAUCGAGGAAAGUCCGGACUCCACAGGGCAGGACGCUGGGGAAAAUCCCAGGCGGGGCGACCCGUGGCCAGUGCAACAGAGAGCAGACCGCCCGAGUUUCUCGGGUAAGGGUGAAACGGUGAGGUAAGAGCUCACCAGCGUGCCGGGUGACCGGUGCGGCUAGGUAAACCCCGUCCGGAGCAAGACCAAGCAGGGGGUAAGGGUGGCCCGCCCGCCUCUCUCGAGGAGGACCCCCGGGUAGGUCGCAGGAGGCGGACGGCAACGUCCGUCGCAGAUGGAUGGCCGCCGCCCGCCGUCAGGCGGGCACAGAAUCCGGCUUACAGGCCGGCUCCUGGC